CUUCAGUGCGACAGCCUCAGAGCUGAUGAAGAGACAGAGAGCACGCAACUGGAAAAAAUUCAGACGUGGAAUUCAUGGAUCAAAUGGUCACCAGUUGUUUCCGCAUUAUGUAUUGAAUAACACAACCUUCUUCCUCUGAUGAGAAGUGUCAACAGCUCUUCUCCUGUUAGAUAGGGUGUAGCUUUCCACAGAAGUUGGUGAAUCCAAUGACAUAGAAUACUGGUCCAGAUGUUAUUCCAGAUGUUGUUCCUUUUGGAUGCUCCUGACAUUCCAGUUGUGUGUUUGGAAAGUACUUCAGGGGUCAAUGCUUAUCCUAAGGAUUUCUGUUCCUCAGACAGGAAAACACCACUAUGCUCCAUUUCUUUGUACUGCAAGUGGAAGGGUCAAGACAGGAAACAUGGAGGCUUUUACUAGGAGGUAAGUUAAAUGGUAACAGAAGUAUUUGACAGUUAAAAAUCACCUGCUGUUCUCUGUUGCACCCUUUACUCUCCAGCACAGCUUUUCUCCCACCCAGCGACUUCGAACCACAGCCACUGGCCUUUUCUGACUUUGGAAGGAAAAGGAAGAUGUUAAAGGAAAAUGCCUGGAACCAGACUUCUGCCUGCAUUGUGCAACUAACUCGUCCUAAUACCCAUACUGACCAAAUGAGCGACACGUAUUUACCCUCACAGAAUGCAAACACCUCUCACAUAGCACACAGAUGACCUAGAGCAGAAUGUUCCACUACCCCUGAGGCUCAUUCGUGUAUAUCACAGCAAAAAGAUUGGCCCCUUAUUACAUCCCUUCCAUAUAACUGGGCUCUUUUAGAUAAACAAAGGUUCUCUCCAACUCAGAGACCAAGCUAAAGGACAUUUAUCAGCUCCACAUGAUGAGACUUGCCUCACUGUGGAGACAGUGCCUCUCACACAGAAAAUCUCAACAUUGUAGCUCAUCUUCACAUCACACAGAUCCUGUCAAGAACAAACAAAGUAUACAGACUUCAUUUAUACAACACAGAUUUCUUCCCAAGCACAUAGAUUCUCCUCAGAAAAUUUAAGUACUCCCCCCAGCAAGCCUCUUCCCACAGCAAAUCACCCCAUGUGUGCUCCACCAACUGAACUCCUGGCUGAUGAAGUUCAUGUGAAACAGACCUCCCUCACAUCACUCUAACCCUUGCAAAACCAAGCAGCCUUGCCCACAACACACAGACUCUUGCCACAUCAUGGAAACCUUCACCACGGAACACAGACUGUCCACAGCACAGCUUUACCACAUAGUGCACAUAGUUUCUCCACGAACACAAACAUACAACACAGCUAAAAUCCCUUGCCUUGGCACAAAAACUCACCCAAAAAACAAACUAUCCCUCUGACAAAUAAAUGAAUGCCAUGUAACAAAGAUUGUUCCAACAGAACACAGGCUUAUAUCUUACUACACACACACCUUCCAUGGUGCACAUUUAUCCCAUGAAACAUAGAUUAAAUUUAUGGUACAGAGACAUUCCCAAUAGCUCUGAGCAUGCUUACUCCUCCACCACAUAGCAAUACAGAAGUAUAACCCGAAGCACGUAGAUCAUGCCUUGUUAAACAAGAUUUUAAUUUAAUAAACACAGUUUUACUACAAUGUACCAAUUCAUCUCAUGAUAAACAUACAUCGCAAACCUGCAUUGCAAACACCUGCCUCAGAGGCACUCAUUUGCCACACAUUCCAGAUUUGCAGAAUUACUCUCUAAGGUACUUAAGUCCCCUCCCUACAGUAUCCACACUCAACCCACAAUCCAGGUGUAAACUAUAACAUGUGAACACACAUCUCAGAAGACCACACUCCACUGCCACAAUGCUCAGAAUUCCCUAACAGCAGUGUGUUUUCUAUACAUUUCAUCUCACAAAAUCAACACUUCUUACAGUGGUUUUACAGUCUAGACACAUGCCCCCAAACACAUGAAGCCAGUGUUUAAGUGACUCUCAGAUUUACCACAAGCACCCAGACUGUUUCACUGUUACCUACAGAGCAAGCUGUGCCUAGCAUAUGCAUAGAAAGAACUCUAAUAGAAUGCACAGAAUCUACUGUUAGUAUACAUACUUGUCUCAUAACUUUUAUAAAUACUUUCAAACAGUGACACUCACUUUAAAUGUACAGAUAAGCCAAUCAGGUCACAGACUUGCCCUAUAAUAUACUCAAUCAUAAUUCAUAUGUCUUAAAAGUUAUAGACGUACACGUGAAUGCAUAGAGUUGUUUUACAUUGUGCAGUUACAACACUUACUUUAUAAUGCAAGUAAACAGCAAUUGUGUAGACAUAUAUACAUAUGUUAUAUAUAUGUAUUAUAAGACAUAACAUACAUAUAUAACACAUGUAUUAACUCCACUUGCAAAGAUUUCAUUGUAGAGGACAGACAUACUUUACCAUAUCAAUGAGCUACAAUUCUGGCCAACAGCAGAGAUACAGCUUGAUAUCCAUUAAGAGCAAGGCCUCUGGACCCAGGCUUCCUGGGCUUGCCUCCAGAUUCCAUCCUUUCCUAAUUGUAUCACCACAGGACCUGGGAAGAUGGAGAAAGGGCUUCAUCGAUGGUGUACAUUUGCCACCUAAUGACCAAACCGAAUGGUGGAAUUUGUGAUUCUCACCUCAAACUGGUAGCUUGACCUUGGCUCCUGAGUUCUGUGGUCCCUUCACAACUGCAACUCAUUCUGAUGCCACAUUUCGGUUUACAUUGUCUGGUGUACCUUUGUGAUCUUUUGAACAAUAUGCAAGUUCAAGUCACUGCCAAGCUGCCUGAUUGUGCAUGUACAAAAAAUCUUCACCAUUUGUGUUACUUGCUUCAGCUCUCUGUGCUUCUGCCUGUUCUGUCUGCAGCCAUUGCUCAUGCCCCUGUGUUAGCAUAUAAAAAUGGUUUUGCCCUUUUUACCUGUCUUGUUAAUUUUAUCAUUUGGUUAUUAAAUAUUACAAGUUAA